UCCCACGGGGCGAAGGCAAUUCAACAACAAACUUAACCUACUGACUUUGCUGUGGCUUUCACUGACACUUCAUUGUUUUAACAAGAAACUUUACGCCUGGAAUUUCGGGAAGAAGCCAACAUUUCUCUUCGGGAUUUCCGCGCGCGUGCCCGCCAACGCAAGUCCCAGCGUCGCUGUGGGAAGUUCGCUGCUCUUUGGCCAACUCACCUCACCGGCUUCAGCGGGACCUCCUGCUCACGGCGUGAGGCAGGAGUCCUUCUCCCGGCUCCAGCAGUGAAGUUUCUCCCCUCCCCCGGUCCAAAUCCUACUCUUCCCACAGAAGCGAGAGGUUGCAGAUCCGCAUGGAUAACCUGCCCCGGGAUGUUCCUGACGUUUCCCUCACUCACUUCAAUGGCGGGCUAAUGACUGCGAAAGGUUGACGUAUUUAUUAAUUUAGAUUUUUUUUAAAUAGGGCUGUUGAUAUACUUAAAAUAUUUUAGGAUUUAAAAAAAACUUGUUGAGAACUCUCAUUGUAAAGUGGAAACGCUCAAGAAUACUGGGCAAAGAGUCCAAGGCUUUCCGGUUGGACCCGCUGUCUGUCAGCCACUGAAACUUCAACGAACGCCGCACAUCCGUCCAUCCCAGUGCCGAGAGCGGAGGUCUGGCACUUGCCGAACGGCCGGUGGUGCCGCCUCUCUCUGUCACCAUGCAGGGUCCAGUCGCAGGGCCCAGCCAAGCUUGGGAAUGCCCGGGUCAGACCAGGCCUGGGAUCUCAGACCUCAGUGUGCCUGCGGAGCAGGAGACAAAGGUUCCCUGUGAGAAAAUGUUUGGUUCCCAAGGGGACAAGCUGGAGAUCAGAGCUCACAGAGAACACCUGCAGACCCCAGCACCUAAGUGAGCAUCUUAUGUCAUCUCCUGGAUCACAUUCUGUAGUUGAUGAUGCUAUAAAUAAAGGACGUGUGUUGUCAU